rnacentral:rRNA from 1 species
UCAGAUGCGAAAGCGUGGGGAGCAAACAGGAUUAGAUACCCUGGUAGUCCACGCCGUAAACGAUGUCUACUUGGAGGUUGUGGCCUUGAGCCGUGGCUUUCGGAGCUAACGCGUUAAGUAGACCGCCUGGGGAGUACGGUCGCAAGAUUAAAACUCAAAUGAAUUGACGGGGGCCCGCACAAGCGGUGGAGCAUGUGGUUUAAUUCGAUGCAACGCGAAGAACCUUACCUACUCUUGACAUCCAGAGAACUUUCCAGAGAUGGAUUGGUGCCUUCGGGAACUCUGAGACAGGUGCUGCAUGGCUGUCGUCAGCUCGUGUUGUGAAAUGUUGGGUUAAGUCCCGCAACGAGCGCAACCCUUAUCCUUGUUUGCCAGCGAGUAAUGUCGGGAACUCCAGGGAGACUGCCGGUGAUAAACCGGAGGAAGGUGGGGACGACGUCAAAUCAUCAUGGCCCUUACGAGUAGGGCUACACACGUGCUACAAUGGCGCAUACAGAGGGCGGCCAACUUGCGAAAGUGAGCGAAUCCCAAAAAGUGCGUCGUAGUCCGGAUUGGAGUCUGCAACUCGACUCCAUGAAGUCGGAAUCGCUAGUAAUCGUGGAUCAGAAUGCCACGGUGAAUACGUUCCCGGGCCUUGUACACACCGCCCA